CAUUUAUCUUAGCUUAAUGCUAGAAAAGAAGAAAAAAAUCCAAACUUCUCAUCUCUCGAUGCUCUCUCUUUCUCUCUAUUCAAACUUUUCUCAAAUUUAUUUCUUCCUCUUUCAAGAAUUCAUACAAGCUUCAACGGUUUAAAUCAAACACCACACAAAUUCACAUCAGAAUAAAAACAAUCAACUAAACAAAAAGGGUAACGAAGCAAAUCCGAAGAUGUUGCUGAUGGUGACGGCGGAUGGAUGGUGCUCAUCGGUUGGGAGCUGCUCGCGGCGGGAUCCUUGCCGGAGUGUGAGACUAUGCGGUUACAGUUGUGAAUGAGGGAGGAUCUCUAUGGAUCUCGGUGGUAUCGUGGAGGCUAUGCAUUGGCGUUGUGUUGCUUGAAUCGGUGUCGAUGUUAGUGAUGGUUACAACAGUUAGCGAGGGAGGACUAAAUCAGUAACAUGUGGUGUUUUUUUUCUCUCAACAAGCAAGAUUGGUGUACAAUGCUAUUAAAAUGGGAGUAGAUAAAAAUGUCAAGAGUACUAAAAGAAGAAGAAGAAACAACAUAUGUACAGAGUAUUAAGUUUUUUUCCUGCUUGCAAUGGUGAGACCAUUUGAGUGUGUCAAAGACAUUUUCGACCAUAAAGAACUCUGGAAGCUCGCCGUUACAGUUCACCAUAAGUGGAAUGUCAUAUCCAACACUAAGGAGCACUUUGAGAUGAUUGUGGUUGAUAAAGAAGUGAGUUCAAAUAUUGCAUAAUGUCCCCGUUAGUUUGAAUGUGUUUUGUUUUAUGUUUUUGGUUUUAUGUGUUUCUUGAAUGUUAUAAUGUUUUUGAUUGAUUUCCAAUUUUAUAAGGGACUGAUAUCCAUGUGGUUGUUCAUCCGUUUUAUUGCAAGACUUACAAUUCACAAUUAGCUGUAAACGACACACUGUCACUAUAUCAAACUUCCAAGUUCUACUAAAUGAUGUUGUCUUCAAACCUUCCCAACAUAAAUUUCUUUUGAAUUUUUCCAGAGAAAUUGAACCACUGUUGGUGAUACAAACAACAAACAUUCAAUUCAUGAAAAAGUUGUCGAAGUUACUUCCUUCAGUGACCUUAUUUCAGGAAAAUGGAAAAAGGAUGUAUUGAUAUGAAAAAUGUUUUGAUUUUGUUCUAUGGAAAAUAAAUAAAAAAAUUUAAGUCUCCACUUACGAUUUCAUUCUGGUAUUUUCUAAACAAGUUUAUGGAAAACUUCUGGCAGAAAAGAACAUAAUGACUCUAACAUGAUUUUGUUUUAACUCUAAGGAUUGAAUCUCAGAAUUGUGGUUUUUAAACACUGGUAGUGUUUAAAACAUAUGGGAAGCCAAGAGAAUGUUAGA